UCGCUGUCUGUCUUGAACGAGUGGCGUCAGGAAUCCUCCUCCUGGCAAUCACAGACAGCGGAGGGGCUAGGUGAUGCUGAUCCUGCCUCGUCUAGAGUACCAUUAUACGGCACAUAUAUACACCUGAGCCAGUUAGCCUGGGCAACAAGCCGAGGCUCGAGACAAACGGUUGGCAACUAUGGAGAGGCCUGGAGCCUGCCACGUCUUGCCAACCCUCCUGCCUGCUCGCUGGUAGACGCGUUCUGUUUGUUCGGCUCUUGAAAAGUCGUUACUGGUUAGACAUUACGGACCCAGGAUUAGCCUACCGUCAGACUGUCUCCUCGAUUAGCGAGGAAGAUGAGGCGAGGAAGAAUUUGCCGGGACAGAAGGCGCUGGAGAGGGAUCGUUACUGUCGCCAUUCCCCCCGGCUCCAAGAGUACAGAUCUGAAGAAGAUGAACAAUUGUAGAAGUUGAUGAAGAUCACGGCAGAGCAAUGCAACAAAAAGUAAGAAAAACAAAAAAUUAUUCAAGAGGUAAACAAGAAAAUUGUGAGAAGUUUGUGAGAACACAGCAAGUUGUGAACAUGACAUAAUGUUUUGAAUUGUUCAAAAGAUGUCCUAUUCUUCGUCGAAAGUAGAAGUGAAUGAGUUGGCAUUGGUGUCAUUGCUAUGUCAAAACAGUUACAGUAUUCAAAUUGGAGUUUGCAGAAGUUCUUUCAUUUUCUGUAGCAAACGUCUAGACCAAUAUUAUGUUUGCAAAUACCUAGGAAGGAAAAAUGAACAAU